CGGGUUUUCGGCCUAAUUUGGGGUAGCUCUCCCUCAACUGGAUUUAGUAUAUAUUGGCAUUUUUGUAUUAUGGCCUUUUAUAGGCAGUGCCUUAUUCGUGGGAGCUUUCGAGAACUUGGUUCGUCUGUGAGCUUGGCAUAGUAUUUGGGUUUCCAGGUAGAAAGAGGUUUUCUAGGGCUGCAUGGAUGCCUUUUGGCUAACCCAGAGCUAUACCAAACUGAAACGCCCUGGACAUUAGAGUUUCAUGCCUCCUUUCCCAGCCGUAAGCACUAUUGCUGAUGAGCUUGCGGAAGCUUGAGGUCUUUG
rnacentral:misc_RNA from 1 species